CCUUCAGGCUCCUUCGGCUAUGAGUGGAAAAGUUGACCGGCCUCUCAAUUGCCUAAAUUGUGAGAGGACAUUGGGGGAAGUCUAACUUGAAAAAUACCUAACAGCUCAUUCAGAAAUGUGCGUCUUCUUCAUCGAUCUCCAUUGAAAGAUUUGUCAGCAACAGAUUUCCGUCCAAGUUGGCUCAGUUUCAACUUUUGUAGCCACAGCUUCUUUCUUUAAAAUAACUUUGUCAUGGGCUCUUUCUCCCCCGCUGCCCCUCCAAAACACCCAAAAUGUAGUAAGCUAAAUUUCAGUGAGAUGAAACCGGUUUUCGCAUCAGGUUCGAAGACGCAAAGCAAAGGUGGAAAGAAGUUGUGUGUUAAAUCGGAACGGAUUUUUGUGCGUGGAAGGAAUGUAAGUAUUGUGGAUGCAUAACGUCAGAUCUGAGUAUAAACGAAGCGAUGUCAAUCCCACUUGUGUUACUGAAAGGACUUAGGAAGGGGAGGAAGGAUGAUGAGUAGAGGUCUGAAGAACAGAUUUCAGCUGGAAAUCGUUUUCUCUGAACUAACGAAGCUGGGUUUCUAAGGGAAACGUCGACUGGUCAGUGAAACAUCCACUUCAUCUACUCCACGGGUGGAUUUUUAAACUUUGUGACAAAGCGGGCCAAGGGCAGUCCCCUGGGAGUGAGCCCUAUUGAAACCAGUGGAUCUUACUUUCGUGUAAAGGUGCGCUCAACUCGAGUGUUAAGAAAUGCUCCUAUUCCUUGCAAAGAAGAGCAAGGACUCACCCCCACCCCACCCGGGCUAACAUGAGCACCCUGCGGAGUUUACUUUGGAAAACAAGGGUGGGGAAUCUGUGGUCCUCCAGGCGUCGUAAAACUACAACUCCCUGGCCAUGGUGGCUGGGAGUGUCCUAAAAUGAGAGGAGACCCAGGGACUCAGCCUUGGCAAGAGGUCUCUUUCUCCCGGCUGAAAGCCUUGCCCUUUAAUCCUAGAUGUGUGAGGAUAAAUUCGUUAGCAUUCUGUAUACGCCCAGAUGCACUCUCUCAGGGGUAACUAAGAUCUGG